CCUGGGUGUGGCAGCUUGCGUGACCAUGCGGUGAUGUCAAGGAGCUGAUAAAUGAAUAAGCACCUUUAGCGUGAGACCAGGAGACAUUGGUCAUCGCCUGAGUGACCUGGUGCACGGUGGGACUGGCUGGACAACAGGGCUCUGGAGAGGAAAAAGAUGUGUGCAGUCACAGAUAAAAUGACAAAUUUAUUUGCCACUUCUAUUUAUAUAGUCCUUUAUAGUAGAUGACAGUGGUCAAUCACACAGUCUAAUAAUGCCCAAUAAAAUACUGUAGCUGUAUCAAAAAUUUGAAUUUUACAAAUAUAAUCAUAGGCGGCACGGUGCACAACUGGUUAGCACGUCUGGGUCACAGUUCUGAGGACUCGGGUUCAAAUCUGGCCUCCCCUGUGUGGAGUCUGGAUGUUCUCCCCAUGCCUGCGUGGGUUUCCUCCGGGUACUCCGGUUUCCUCCCACGUCCCAAAAGCAUGCAUGGUAGGUUAAUUGAAGACUCUAAUUUGCCCGUAGGUGUGAAUGUGAGUGUGAAUGAUAGUUUGUUUAUUUGUGUCCUGCGAUUGGCUGGUGACCAGUUCAGGGUGUACCCUGCCUCUCGCGCGAAGAUAGCUGGCAUAGGCUCCAGCUUGCUCACGACCCUAGUGAGGAUAAGCGGUACGGACGAUGCAUGAAUGAAUGAAAAUAAUCACGUUCAGUUUCAUUGUGGCUUUCAAAGUGGUAUUUGUUUAACAUUAUGUUUCUUAUUUACUGCUGUUGAUGAUUUACAUUGGCGUGGAACUGUUCUGCAUCAUAUUUAGUUAUUCUUUUUAUAGCUGCACGAUACUGGAAAAACGUGAUAUGUGAUAUGCAUGUUCAAUAUUGCGAUAUCGAUAUUCAACAUACCUGUAAAGAAGAAUACAGAAGAAUACAUUUUUAAUGUGGCAAUAUAAGCACGCAAUAUGUAUUAUCCCUUAUUACAGAUGUGUUAUUCAUUUUAGCCACAAGUCGUUUAGUUGUUUUCGUCCUUGUUCAUUAUCUCCUCUCCCGCAUCUGCCAUUCUUCCUAUGCCCACUGCUGCUGAGAGUCCUACUGUACGCCUAUGGGUCCGCUCUAACCAAGAGGAGACCAGUAUCUGGGGCAUGGAUAGCGAUGUGCAUUUAAGGUCGCAUCGGAUUGGUCAAACUCAUAUAAACGCCAUGCGUGUCCUCCAAAGCAUACAAUACUGUAUACAUAUUAAUUUUAUUGCACUUCUUUGUGAUACACAUAUUGCACGUGGCAUAAUCGCAAUGACAAGAUUUUUUCGAUAUAUUCUGCAGCCCUAAAUCUUUUCAAUCCCCAGUAUGGAGAAGCAUUCAUUCUGUUGCAAAGCUUGGAUUCUUUACCUGUUUCUAGUGUUUCAGAGUAGCUGGGUAAACUCUGUCCAGCAACGCUUGUUGCUAUGAUGGUGACCUCAUAGAUGGAUCCACACGGCAGAUCUGUGAGCUCACAGCUACUUCCACUAGAGAUGCAGGGUGUCACAACCACACUGUAGGCGCUAUCACAGCUGAGGUCGGAGAGGGCGCACACCGGUGCAGUGUCAUUGCACAAGACGACUUCUGAAAUAUCCGCUACUCGAGUCUCAUAGAGAUCUGCCCCCCGAGAUGCUGCCCAUGUGAUCUCGAGAGUUUCCGUGCUCACCAGGGAGACGGACACAUCCUCUGGACAACAGGGCACUGAUGAAGACAUGGGCUUGAUGGGUAGCCAGGCCCUGCGUCAUUGGAGGCGAUAACCUGGAUAAUAUGCACCUCACCACAGCCAACUGGACACAGACAGUACAGCUUGAUCGGCACUCAUCACCACUGAGACAUCAACGGAAGCCGGCAUUGGAGGUCCUAACGAUAAACAAGGAUGAAACAUAGGGACACAUCCAAUGAUAAGCCAGUUACACACAUCCCAGCCAUACCCCAUUAUCAUGAAGAGUGAGCCAGCAUCCAGUCCAGAGAAUGUCACACUGGUGCUGGACGUGUUCUGUUUAAUGGUUGUGUUGGAGAAAACCUCGUACAUGACCACAGUGUACUGGACAGCAC